rnacentral:rRNA from 1 species
CCUACGGGGGGCUGCAGUGGGGAAUAUUGGACAAUGGGGGGAACCCUGAUCCAGCCAUGCCGCGUGUGUGAAGAAGGCCCUCGGGUUGUAAAGCACUUUCAGUGAGGAAGAACGCCUGGUGGUUAAUACCCAUCAGGAAAGACAUCACUCACAGAAGAAGCACCGGCUAACUCCGUGCCAGCAGCCGCGGUAAUACGGAGGGUGCGAGCGUUAAUCGGAAUUACUGGGCGUAAAGCGCGCGUAGGUGGCUUGAUAAGCCGGUUGUGAAAGCCCCGGGCUCAACCUGGGAACGGCAUCCGGAACUGUCAAGCUAGAGUGCAGGAGAGGAAUGUAGAAUUCCCGGUGUAGCGGUGAAAUGCGUAGAGAUCGGGAGGAAUACCAGUGGCGAAGGCGGCCUUCUGGACUGACACUGGCACUGAGGUGCGAAAGCGUGGGUAGCAAACAGGAUUAGAUACCCGAGUAGUC